ACCUGGCGGCCGACGAGACCGCAUCGGCCGAAUAUGCGGCAGAUAUUGUGACUCUAGUGAAGUGACUUGUGAGCGCAGUGCCCGUGCGUUAACCCCAUCCCUAUAGUGUAACCGGAUUUUAAAUUUGGAACGCCCCGCGGCGUGUAAAAAGAUUAACGAUGUUGAUAAGGUGUCGGACGGCACUCAAUGCUGUCGCGAUCCUGCUGCUCGCAGCCACAUCUUUAAACGCAGAGGGAAACCUCUUCACCUGUCCAAAUGG